UUGGGAUUCCCGUUGUUCUUCUUCUUCUUCUCUCAUCUUUGACCCUAGAGGCUGGAGUAGCCUGACGAGAAUACAGCCACCGAAAAAGGGCACCACAGAGACAUGAGCGGAAAAGCCAGAAAUUUUCGCCGCCGCGGCGGAGACGACGAUGACGGAGAUGAAACGCCGGCGUUCAUCGCACCUAAUGGCAACUCCACACAAUCCCAAGCCAAACCCGUCGCCAGUUCCGGCAAGCCGAAAAAAUCUUCAACGCUAGCUCCCAAGAGCCUCCUUAGCUUUGCAGAUGACGAAGAGUCCGAAGAUUCGCCUUUCACUCGCCCUUCUAGACCCUCCUCCUCGAGCUCUAGGCUCGCCAGGCCAUCGUCUUCUCACAAGCUGUGCUCAGUAAUAAAAGGGAGAAGUGCCCUAGCGCCUUCUCUCCCCUCCAAUGUGCAGCCCCAAGCUGGUACCUACACCAAAGAAGCUCUCCUUGAGCUCCAGAAGAACACCAAAACCCUAGCUGGUUCCCGCCCUACUCAGCCGAAACCAAAACCAAAACCUGAGUCAAUGGAGCCUGUAAUUGUAUUGAAGGGGCUUGUUAAACCAGCGGCUUCUGUAGACCCGGAGAUGGAAAAGGGACGUGAUAGUGAAGAUGAUGAAGCGAGGGUUGAUAGACAGGGUGGGUCUGUGGGAAUAGAUAGAGAGGAUACUGUGAACCGGCUCAAUUCAAUGGGGUUGGGGAAGGUCUUGAGGGCAACUGAUGAUAUUGGGCCAGAGAUACCAGACCAGGCAAUGAUAGAUGCCAUAAGAGCGAAGCGGGAGAGACUCAGGCAAGCUCGGGCAGCUGCCCCUGACUAUAUUGCAUUAGAUGGAGGAAGUAAUCAUGGGGAAACUGAUGGUUUGAGUGAUGAGGAGCCAGAGUUUCAAGGGAGAAUUGGUUUUUUUGGGGAAAAAAUUGAUAGUGGAAAGAGGGGAGUCUUUGAAGAUUAUGAGGAUAAGUCCGGGCAGAAGGAUGUUGGAGAUGAUAGUGUGUAUAGUGAGGAUGAAGAGGAUAAAAUUUGGGAAGAAGAGCAGGUGAGGAAGGGCCUGGGAAAGAGGAUGGAUGAUGGUUCUAGUAGAGGAGUGAGUAGUAGUGGUAAUGGUGUCAACAGUAUCCCUGUGGUUCAGAGUGUUCAGCAGACAAAGUUUGGAUAUCCAAUUGCAGGAGCUAGUGUAUAUUCCUCCGCUCAGACAGUUGUUGCUCCUGUUGUUAGUCCUAAUAUUACAGGAGCAGCUGGGGGCUGGCCUGGUUCAAAUGCUAUCUCAAUUUCACAGCAAGCUGAGCUUGCCAAGAAAGCUUUGCAUGAGAAUGUGUGUAGGCUUAAGGAAUCUCAUGCCCGGACUGUGGCAUCCUUGUCCAAGACUGAAGAAAAUUUGUCUUCUUCAUUGUCAAAUGUGACUACUUUGGAAAAUUCUUUAGCUGCUGCUGGUGAAAAGUACAUCUUUAUGCAAAACCUUCGCGACUUUGUUUCUGUUAUAUGUUCAUUUCUGCAGGAGAAAGCUCCUUACAUAGAGGAACUAGAAGACCAGAUGCAGAAGCUUCAUAAAGCACGAGCAGAAGCCAUUUUAGAAAGAAGGGUUGCCAAUAAUGAAGAUGAAAUGAGAGAACUAGAAGAUGCUAUCAGUGCUGCAAAGCAAGUUUUUAGUGAACGUGGUAGCAGUGCGGCAACAAUAGUUGCUGCAAAAGAAGCUGCUUUAAGAGCUGCUGCUGAGGCAAGAAGGCUAAGGGACUUACCUGUAAAGCUAGAUGAAUUUGGUAGAGAUUUGAAUCAACAAAAGCGAAUGGAUAUGGCAAGGAGAGAAAAGGCUCGAGAACAUAGGAGAGCAAAAUCUGAUACUAAAAGAAUGUCAACCAUCGAAAAUGACAGUUCCUAUCAGCGGGUAGAAGGUGAAUCAAGCACUGAUGAAAGUGACAGUGAGAGUACAGCCUACAGGUCAAACCGUGAUCAAUUGCUUCAGGUUGCUGAAGAGAUAUUCAGUGACACAAAUGAUGAAUACUCUCAACUAGCAGUGGUUGUUGACAAGUUUGAGAGAUGGAAGAAAGGUUAUUCUUCAAGUUAUCGUGAUGCUUAUAUGUCUCUAAGCAUUCCUGCUAUUCUCUCUCCCUAUGUCAGAUUGGAGCUUUUGAAAUGGGAUCCAUUGCAUAAAGAUGCAGAUUUUAUGGAUAUGAAAUGGCAUUCUUUACUCUUCAAUUAUGGACUUCCUGAACAUGAUAGUGAAUUUAGCUCUGAUGAUGCUGAUGCCAACCUCAUUCCUCAGCUUGUUGAAAAGCUUGCAAUUCCUAUCCUUCACAAUCAUUUAGCACACUGUUGGGACAUGCUUAGCACUCGAGAAACAGAAUAUGCUGUCUCUGCCAUUAACUUGGUGUUUAGAUAUGUCCCCUUGUCUAGUUCGGCUCUUGGUGAUUUGGUAGCUGUUUUGCGUAACCGUCUUGCUGAUGCUGUGGCUAAGUUGGUGGUUCCCAAGUGGGAUUCAAUUCUAAUGAAGGCUGUACCAAAUGCAGCUCGUAUUGCAGCAUAUAGGUUCGGCAUGUCUGUUCGUUUAAUGAGAAAUAUAUGCUUGUGGAAUAAUGUUCUUGCAAUGCCUGUCUUGGAGAAGCUUGCUCUUGAUGAACUCUUAAGCGGAAAGAUUCUUCCACACCUUCGGAACAUUCAAUCAGACAUUGAUGAUGCAAUUACAAGAACUGAGAGGAUUGUUGCUUCAUUGUAUGGUGUCUGGGCUGGUCCAAGUGUCAUUGGCGAUCACAGUCCAAAGUUGCAACCACUGGUUGAUUAUUUGUUAGCACUAAGUAGAAUGUUGGAGAAGAAGCAUUUAUCAACUGGAGCAGAGUUAGAGACUGGAAAACUUGCUCGUAGACUAAAAAAGAUGCUGGUUGACCUCAAUGAAUAUGAUCAUGCCAGGGAAAUUUCAAGAACCUUUAAUAUCAAGGAGGCUUUAUGAUUUGUUUCUUCUGCCACAGGUAUAUGUAGAAAUAGUGUUGAAUGUAAGGAAGUUGAAGAGAAAAGCAACAUUCCAAGAAUUCAGAGAUGUUUAUCUGUGGCACCAUGGAAUUUAGUAAAUGCCAGUUUCUCCUGCAGUCCUGUGGAUGUGCCAUCUUUAGGAAAUGCCAAGUUGAGUUCUCACCUUCACAAAUGGGAGCAGACAAUAAUCAAAGUAGUCAGAGAGUAUGUUAUAAAUAUUGAUUGAGGAUGACAGUAGGAAAAAGCAGUUAGUAUCACAAGAAGAAAAUUGGAAAGAAGGGAAAGCAUUUAUGAAUGAUGAUCAACAGAAAAGUGCACCAUUGUAAUAGCAGGAGCUUGGCUGCAUGCCUGCCUGCCUGCCCACAAAAAGAAUCAACAGAAACUGCAAUCAUUUUGACAUUCUGUUGCAUGAGUGAUCCUCGCGCCGGUAGUGCAUGAUGAAGAAAGGAAAUGAGAUGAGAGGGUGAAAGGCAGGAGAAGAAGCAAUUGCUUUGCCAAAGCUUGGGGCAUGCAUUUCUUGAUUCAAACUGCCCUGCCAAACAAUGGAACAUACACACCGCAGGUUACUGCUUAGAAUUACAAGGCAAUGAAAAAUUCUACUACUGAACAAGGGGUGGGGUUGUUUUUACUGUACUAACUUAUUCUUAGAUUUCUAAAAUUUACCCACCCCUACACACCAAAGAUUUCUUCUCCCAUCAAUGCUAGUGCUGCACUGCUGCCCGUGUAAUUGAACCGUUUCCCCAAUACAAUACAAUCCUGGAUAAUAUAAUACAUAUACGGAGUUAUAUUUCUAAUUUUA